GAGGCAACUCGAAAACGGAAAACUCUUUCGUCUAGCGAGUUUUUUGUCUUGCGAGGCAUUCGUCUUGCGAGGUACCACUGUAUUACUCUUACGGGCAACGUCCUGACACUUGCAGCCCAGCUAUUGAUUGACAGGUCAAGUUCAAUUACAUGGGACCUGUGGAAGUUUCCAUGGGGAAGUGUUUUGCUUCCGGGUGUUUUUUUCAGGUCCUGUUUCCUGCAGAGGCCUUUAUGGAAUGCCUCCAAAGUCAUACCAAACUCAUUCUCUCAUUCUCUUCCUUAUGUGGCAAAAAACCGACAAAAGGCACACACUGUCUAGUCACAGGAGGGAGGUCUGCUUAGGGUUGGGGAAGCCCCUAGGUGCACAGAAUAACAAAAAAGCUUUAGGCAAGAUGCUGAGGCCACAGGAGCUGCAGGGGAGAAAAUGGUAUUUCUGUGCAAUGGAGUAUCCUGGAAAAGGGUAUGACUGGCUGGCUGCCCUAUACAUGAGUGGUCCAUACUGCAACAUUUUGAUGUGUCCAACUGACAUUAAAAAAGAAAGAACAUGAAACACGAAAGUGCAGGAAUGAACGUGAAGAUGAAAUCAUUCAAAGUUCUACCCCAAAAUGAACUUAAUUCACCUUCAGUUUACCUGGCAACUCUGGGAACUACUCUCAGAAGUAGUUCAAGAGUUUUGAACUGGUUCAGUUAGGUGCCACAAUGGAACAGGCUCUCUGAUUCUUGGGGAUCGCAAUGUGUCCAUUCUGUUAUAUGCUGAUGACCUAGUUUUGUUUUCUGUGAACAAAAUUGGACUUUGCAGGUCCCAAUAAUAUCAGUAGCCUGCUCCUGAGUAACUUGGAGAAGAGUUUUCAGGGAGGAGGUCCCUGUUUUGUGGAACAGCAGUAUUCCUGUUGAGAUACGGUGGUCAGGCACUCUUUGUACUUACUGGAAACUAGACCAUGGUGCCAGCCAAGAACAAGCAUCCAUUAUCACAGGCUGUUAUUCUAUUUCAUCCCCUCAAAUCAAGGACAACAAUUCAGGGCUUCACUACCUUGAGAUGCUGGCUUUUCUGCAAUUACGUUGAGCCCUUGUUGAACUUAGGUUUCAACAGAUGCCCUCAGCAUACUUGGUUGGAAUAGCACACAUGGAAUGGCAUUUUUGGAUGUCAUCAGGUUGCAGAUGCACUGCUUGUAGAUUUGCCCUUUACAUAUGGUGUCCAGAGAAAUUUUUAAAUUCUCUAUUGGUUCUCAAAUUGAUCCUCCCAGGAAGUGAUAGUUGAAUUCUUAGCCAAUAAAUACAGAUCUGGUAGCCAUAUUUGCUCUAGCACCUAAGAAGCUUCAUUCCAGUUAUGUUAAUGCUUUGUAAUUUUCAGUUUUUAUGCUGUAAAUGUUGUGUGAUUUUAGAGGAAUGUUUUGCUUUUUAUCCUCUUUGUUCAUUGUGAAGGCCUUUGGUGAUAUACAAUAAAUUGAAAUGAAUGA